rnacentral:hammerhead_ribozyme from 1 species
AUUCAGUUGAAAAGUUCGAAAUAAAACUAAACGCGCGUCUUGAAU